UAUCUCUCAUUUGAGCAACUCUUCAUCUAUGUUGUGCAUGCCAAACCGUGUUAGCUUGUUUCCUUGCAUUUUGGUGGCUAUUUUCGUAUGACUUCGACGGAGUUCAAACCUCGUGUCAUCAUUUAUGUGUUGUGGUAACCCAAAGGAUGAGCUAGUUAGUGUCAACACAAACAAUGUAUGAUUUUUCCAUGAAAGAUAUAAGAAGUCAUCUUGUAAGUUUAUGUUGUUAAAUAUGAUCCUUUAUGAUGACUUGUCAGGAUUAACUGGGCAUUUUAACUGAACAAUAGACAUUUCUUAUGAAAUAUGACUGAUGAAGUACAUAUCAUUUUCAGCUGCUUUUGAUUUGAUGAAAUAAGCCAAUUUUAAGGUUGGGAUUGUGGUUACUCCUCCUGUGCAACAUUUCCUUUAAUCUUUUACUAGCCAAGCUAUCCAUGCAUUUUUUUUUAUCUUUUGUGGUGUGGAAAUGCUUGAUAAUUGUUGCUAUUCAAACAAUAACUUCUUUUCAUUUGAAACUUAUUCUUGUUUCUUGUUACCCAUAGAACUUUGACAAGUUCCCUUCUUGUUAGAGUUACAUGCAAUGCAUAAUUGUGAAGGAUGAAGUACAAAAAUAUGAAAGGUUUUCAUCUCCAGACAUUAAUUUUUCUUCAAAAAAAAGAAAAGAUAUAACAUUUUAAAAUAUGCAGACUAAACGAGGAAUUCUUUUCACACUUGCGAUUUGAAAUAGGGCAACUCCGGUUUGCUGUUUCAAAAACUGAGGAUAUGGAAGAUAGAUUGAUUGAGCUCGAAGCACUGCAAAAGGCUUUACAGGAAGGAACAGAAGCUUAUGAUAAAAUGCAAGCUGAACUCAUAAAGGCAAAGGAAAGCCUAACCAAAAUCUUAUCAUCGAAGGACGUAACAACAACUUUGCUAGAGAUGGUUGAGCGGAAUGAGCUCAAUAGAUCCUUAUUGGCACUUCUUGACGAAAACAUAGCAAAUGCACAUAAGGGUGACCAGGUAGAGGUCGUCUUUUCUAUGCAAAUACAAUUCUAGUAAUUGCGCUCUAUUUCUUCUAUAUAUAUGAUGCUCUGUACUUGCUCCACUAACUCCAAUGAAGAAACUAGCAGCAGCAUUCAUGGAAAAGCUUCGUGGGGCUAUGCUGAAAUACAUGACUGUUUAAUAUUCAGGUGGUAAAUAUUAAGUUAUUCUUUCCAUUAUUGACAGAUAAACACAAGUUUGCUAUUACUGUUGACCUUACUGCAUCAGAUAAUUAUAGUUAUUUGAUGAUCCUAGAAAACAGGAAAUCAGCUUAUGACCUUAUUGUCCUCAAACAGAAAAAAAAUAAAAUAAGAUUUUUUGUUCUUCAAAACUUGAAAUCGUAGGCAUCACCACUGAUUAUAUUAGAAGUUGCAGGAAACAAAAGAAGCCAAAAUUGAUUGCUUUCAAUUGCGAUGUAAUAUUGUUAGUAAUUUACAUUUCAGUGGUAUUAACUAUUGAUUA